rnacentral:rRNA from 1 species
GUGAGUGGCGGACGGGUGAGUAACGCGUGGGUAACCUUCCUUGUUCAGGGGGACAACAGUUGGAAACGACUGCUAAUACCGCAUAAGCGCAAAGAUUUGCAUGAUUUGAUGUGAAAAGUUUUUUCGGUACAAGAUGGACCCGCGUCUGAUUAGCUAGUUGGUGAGGUAACGGCCCACCAAGGCGACGAUCAGUAGCCGACCUGAGAGGGUGACCGGCCACAUUGGGACUGAGACACGGCCCAAACUCUUACGGGAGGCAGCAGUGGGGAAUAUUGCACAAUGGGCGAAAGCCUGAUGCAGCGACGCCGCGUGAGCGAAGAAGUAUUUCGGUAUGUAAAGCUCUAUCAGCAGGGAAGAUAAUGACGGUACCUGACUAAGAAGCACCGGCUAAAUACGUGCCAGCAGCCGCGGUAAUACGUAUGGUGCAAGCGUUAUCCGGAUUUACUGGGUGUAAAGGGAGCGUAGGCGGUUUUACAAGUUUGAUGUGAAAGCCCGGGGCUCAACUCCGGUAUUGCAUUGGAAACUGUAGAACUAGAGUGUCGGAGGGGUAAGUGGAAUUCCUAGUGUAGCGGUGAAAUGCGUAGAUAUUAGGAGGAACACCAGUGGCGAAGGCGGCUUACUGGACGAUUACUGACGCUGAG